rnacentral:lncRNA from 1 species
UCUCUUUUAUUUUUCAAGUACAAACAAGAACGAAGUUAAACCUAUGCACCCAGUAGUACAGGACUUUAGCACCAUAAUUUAUUUUAUAACAAAAAAUAAACAGAAACACUCGAAAAAAGAAUGAAGACUGUUUGUCAACUUUGCAACUCCAUAUAUCUAUCAGGUUUUCAUCACAACAAAACUUCUACAAUCCCAUAUGCUACAGAGUUUAAUAACUGCUUGCCUAAUCUUAUCAUGUAUAUAUGAUUUGCAAGAACAAUAGAAAUCCUUGAAACAAAAGAAGAAAGAAUAAUGGCACAACCCCAUGCACCCUCUUUCCACUUUUAAAGUUGCCAGCGGAAAGAAAAUAAGUUCCAAAUCUUGCAUUUCCCAAGUCUUUGUACAGUAAGUUGGACUCGGCAAGUAUAAUAUACGAUGAUACAUAUAAAAUAUAUUUAUAACUUUUUUUCCCUUCCCCUUAUC